GGGGAAUUUUCCGCAAUGGGCGCAAGCCUGACGGAGCAACGCCGCGUGAGGGAUGAAGGCCUCUGGGCUGUAAACCUCUUUUCUCAAGGAAGAAGAUCUGACGGUACUUGAGGAAUAAGCCACGGCUAAUUCCGUGCCAGCAGCCGCGGUAAUACGGGAGUGGCAAGCGUUAUCCGGAAUUAUUGGGCGUAAAGCGUCCGCAGGCGGCCUUGAAAGUCUGUUGUUAAAGCGUGGAGCUUAACUCCAUUUCAGCAAUGGAAACUACAAGGCUAGAGUGUGGUAGGGGCAGAGGGAAUUCCCGGUGUAGCGGUGAAAUGCGUAGAUAUCGGGAAGAACACCAGUGGCGAAGGCGCUCUGCUGGGCCAUAACUGACGCUCAUGGACGAAAGCCAGAGGAGCGAAAGGGAUUAGAUACCCCAGUAGUC
rnacentral:rRNA from 1 species